AACGAACGCUGGCGGCAUGCUUUACACAUGCAAGUCGAACGGCAGCGCCGGGUUUGGCCGGGCGGCGGGUGGCGAACGGGGGAGAAAUACACCUGAAUGUGCCCAGAAUCGCGGGAUGGGGUGGUGAAAGCCGGAAUAAUACUGCAUACGACCUGAUGGUGAAAGCGGGGGGGCUUCGGACCGCUUGCCAUGUUGGUGGCGGAGGGGCGAAUGGCUAGUUGGUGGGGUAAAGGGUUACCCAGGAGGAGAUCGGAAACUGGUCUGAAGGGACGGCCCGCCACCUGGGGAGUGAGAAAGGGCCCAGACUCCUGCGGGAGGCCGCAGUGGGGAAUUUUGGGCAAGGGGGGAAAGCCUAAUCCAGCAAUGCCGCGUGUGUGAUGAAGGCGUUCGGGUUGGAAAGCACUUUUGGCGGGAGCGAAAAGGACUGUGCUAAUACGACGGUUCAAUGACGGUACCGGGAGAAUAAGCACCGGCUAACUACGUG
rnacentral:rRNA from 1 species